rnacentral:rRNA from 1 species
GAUGAACGCUAGCUACAGGCUUAACACAUGCAAGUCGAGGGGCAUCAGGAAGAAAGCUUGCUUUCUUUGCUGGCGACCGGCGCACGGGUGAGUAACACGUAUCCAACCUGCCCUUUACUCGGGGAUAGCCUUUCGAAAGAAAGAUUAAUACCCGAUAGCAUAAUGAUUCCGCAUGGUUUCAUUAUUAAAGGAUUCCGGUGAAGGAUGGGGAUGCGUUCCAUUAGGUUGUUGGUGAGGUAACGGCUCACCAAGCCUUCGAUGGAUAGGGGUUCUGAGAGGAAGGUCCCCCACAUUGGAACUGAGACACGGUCCAAACUCCUACGGGAGGCAGCAGUGAGGAAUAUUGGUCAAUGGGCGCUAGCCUGAACCAGCCAAGUAGCGUGAAGGAUGAAGGCUCUAUGGGUCGUAAACUUCUUUUAUAUAAGAAUAAAGUGCAGUAUGUAUACUGUUUUGUAUGUAUUAUAUGAAUAAGGAUCGGCUAACUCCGUGCCAGCAGCCGCGGUAAUACGGAGGAUCCGAGCGUUAUCCGGAUUUAUUGGGUUUAAAGGGAGCGUAGGUGGACUGGUAAGUCAGUUGUGAAAGUUUGCGGCUCAACCGUAAAAUUGCAGUUGAUACUGUCAGUCUUGAGUACAGUAGAGGUGGGCGGAAUUCGUGGUGUAGCGGUGAAAUGCUUAGAUAUCACGAAGAACUCCGAUUGCGAAGGCAGCUCACUGGACUGCAACUGACACUGAUGCUCGAAAGUGUGGGUAUCANACAGG